CCGGCUUACCAACCCGAUGCAAACUGCGAAUACCGGAGAAUGUUAUCACGGGAGACACACGGCGGGUGCUAACGUCCGUCGUGAAGAGGGAAACAACCCAGACCGCCAGCUAAGGUCCCAAAGUCAUGGUUAAGUGGGAAACGAUGUGGGAAGGCCCAGACAGCCAGGAUGUUGGCUUAGAAGCAGCCAUCAUUUAAAGAAAGCGUAAUAGCUCACUGGUCGAGUCGGCCUGCGCGGAAGAUGUAACGGGGCUAAACCAUGCACCGAAGCUGCGGCAGCGACACUGUGUGUUGUUGGGUAGGGGAGCGUUCUGUAAGCCUGUGAAGGUGUGUCGUGAGGC
rnacentral:rRNA from 3 species